AAGGGCCAAAUACAGUGUACUUCACUGAGGAUCUCUAUCCCUGCUAAAGGUGGAUUAUUUCAAUGCUCUGAAGGCCUUCAGCACCUACAGAGGUGUGACUGACAGGAAGCAGUCAGUGGUGUUUGUGCUCAGUUGGUACCAGAAGGCAGCUGAACCCGCAGCAGACUUGGAGGUGAAGCCAGGCAGUGUGUGGCAGGUCAGUGGAAAGGAAGUCUUCUUGCCUCAUCCUCACUACAGCACCCUGGGUCCUCCUCUGCCUCCUGGAGAUGCCGUCUUCCCCAGAAGCUCCUGGACAUGAUCCGAGGAGGGAAGAUUCACAACUGAAGGACAGAGCAGACAGAAGGGAAAUGGAAGAUCCAGCAAGGAAACAGCACAACAAACAUGGGUGGGUGACUCCUGAGGAGAGCACCAUCAAAAUCACAGCCAAAACAGGAGAGAAGGAAAAAAAUCACCCUCCCCUAAGGUUUGAGAGAUGGCAGUGCGGCCACUUGGGAAGUCACUGAGUUGUUAGUUGGAAAGCAAGAUUGAAUGUGAAGGCUGGCUCUGCUAUGAUACUUGGGACUGGAAGACCCUCAAAUUCUCUUCUGUCUUCCCUUUUCAUUUUGAGUUUUCUCAGAUUUAGAAGUAUGCUCUUCUAGUAUCUGUUCUGAAAUAAACUGGUUUCUAAUUGUAAAAUUUGUAAAAAGGAGAACAAAUUCUAUAUGUAAAAAACCUAACUUUUUAUUAUUAUGGGAGUGAUUACUUCCAAAAAUGAGAUUUAUACACAUCUACCCUAUAUUGUGGCUUAUUCAAGAUGAGCAUCUAAAGAGUUCCAAAGUACAUCUUCGGAAUGUACUUCUUGGUAGCAGUCACUGCAGCAUUUCACUGUGCUCCAGAAGGAGGGCACGGGUUCAGGUUCUGCAGCUUUGUCCUGCUGCUCCUUUUUUCUGAAGUCAGUUGACUGUAGAAACUGAUCAGGCAACAACUUGACCUGUAGUUGGCUUGCUUAUGCCUUCCUCCUAGCUGAGCACUGUGUAUUCACAGUUGGAUUUCAAAAUGUAGCUAUCCAGGGAGUCUUAUGUCUGGAUAUGCUCAGAACAAAAUAAGAAAUGUCAGAGCCACAUUUUACAUGGUGCUGUGGUCAGGUUAAUAAAUCUUGCAAGCUUUCCAAAUAGUAUGUUGUUGUGCUUGAGCAGGACUUGCUACCUCAAGCACAAUGUCAUCUUAGAUAUUGUUAUGUAGCUUCUGCAUCUUCAAAGAUUUGCAUCCAGUCAGCUGAAAAAACACAGUGACCAGGCUCAUUUUCAUCUGUAGAAUAGCAAGUAAUGUACCCUAAAAAAAUUGUAUUUAUGCCAAAAAUAUGUACACAGAAAUGGUAGCUAUGUUUCCAAGCUUUAGGUUUAUUUUUUAGCAAGCUAACAAAAAUGGCUUUGUUUUAAAAUCAACAACCAUGUCUAUAAAAAUGUUUGAUACACCAGAAACACAUUAAAAUAGCCUUAUAUGAAUGCACAGUAUGCCUCCAGUGAUAAUACUAACACUGUGCCUUGUGCACAUAAUCUUAUUUGCAUGAAGGACUAGUAGAGUUCUGCUUUUUGUGAUCAUGUACAUGGUGGAAGAUUAAUGUUCUCAUGACAAACUGAGAUUUCAGGUACACUGAUUGGUGUUUCAAGGACCAGUGUAAACAGAUGUGUUUUUAGCUGGCAGUGAAAUGGCUCUGAACCUGUAAAACAGAAAUGAAACAUAGGCUGUAUUUGUAGGAUGUUGAGGAUGGAAAUAAGAGAAAGGCAAUCAGUAAUUUUGAAGCAUUGCUAGAAUGCUUCCUGUACUUAAACUCAACCACAAACCCCAGGAAAACAUAUGUUUAAACUUUCUUAAGAGAAAUGCAAUGUACCCUGUUUCCUAGGGGAAGGAAUCUGGCUCAGCAGCUUUGUGCAACACAGCUAGACUGCUGCCAGCUAGCGAGGAGCUCUCUGAACCACCCAGCAGCUAACAAAGAGGCUACAAUGAAGGGAUAGGCCGGCUAUGCUUCCUGCUGUAAGGAAGCUGCCUUUUGUUACUUGAAAGCACUUUUGACAUUUUUCAUGUGUUUGGGCAGAAAUCUACCCAGAAUUUUCUUCCCCAGGAGAAAUUUCCUUUUUUUUUUGAAGUUGGAACACUCUGUAAUUCAGGUGGAGAAACAGAAACUAGCUGUGGAGAGUCGAGAGGUUUCACUUAAACCUCAUUCACAUAGAAAUUAUUUGGAAUUAAUUUGCCAGUUCUCAGACCUAUCCAAACUCAAGAGACUUUAAGGUGCUCACCCCAGUCCCAGAGCACAGUUUAGCUGAUAGUGCCAGUGAUGAUUUUUGAGCAACCACUCUUGCUCAAAAUAGGCAUAUGCGUGUUUUCAGGAUCUGAGAGGCAGGUUGCAGUCAAAGAACAGGGAAAGAACAAGAAUGUUCUCCCAUACUGAAAGGAAAACGUGCACUGACCUCCAGAACGAUGAAAUAGAGAAGAACCUCCUGAGCUACUGACAGGAGCAAACAGAAGCUUCUGCCUCUUCAGUCUGCUGUACCUGAGACAGGAAGAUAGGUUGGUUUUGUUAUUAGCUAGUAUUGGUGUUGUCAUGCAACAUGCAUGUACUCUGGAGUUUCUAGUAUCAUUUUGAGAUGAUAAUGGCCUUGAGAAAAGUGAAUUAAGGAUUUCAUAUAGUAAGUUUUCUAGAUGUUCUAGUGUAGUGUUAAUUUUUAGUGGACAAGGAAGCUUUCAAUUCUUUCUAAAUUUAAGAAGACAAUAGAUCUGAAAGAAAGACUGUUAGUAAUUCUGUGGUGUAGGUUUUCAACUCUACAGUCACAUAGUUUGCUAUUUUUAAUUUACAUUCAAGUCAUUUUUAUUCAAUUUUGAGGACAGAAAACAGAUCAGAAAUCCACAGUAUGGUUUCAAAAGCUUCUUUGAAGUGAAAUUUGACUCAUGUGGUUACUGCUACUGGUUUUAUUGCUCAAACUGUCUGAAGAAUUUCCUAAGUAGAUUUGUUGAAAAUAAUUUCUUAAAACCCAGUCCUCCCUACAACACCUACAAAACCAAAACAGAUGAAAUAAGUAUUAAGAGAGAAAAAUACUACUAAAGAAUCUAAUAUACUUAAUAAGAUAAAAAAUUAUGGAAACUGUCCCAGUGAUGUCUUUUCCAGUCAUUUAGAAAGAAGAGAACAUUGAAACAUGAGUAAUUCCUAUUACUACUUCAGUAUUUAGGGCUAGUUUUAAGAGGGGGAAAAUGGAGAUUUUAAGAAUUUGGAGAAAAGAAUACACUUUAUUUCUGAAAAUAAACCAAAGCUACUCUCUGUGGUGUAUAUUGUAGAACAACAGCAUGCUGUAGUGAACAAUAGCAUAUUGUAGUGAAAGAGAACAACAUAACACAAUUGCUUGUAUAUCACAUUGGUACUGGUCCCCUGUCUGAAAUCUCAUGGCCCAAUGACACCUCGGCCCAGGAAGAGCCAGUAAAAUUCAUUGCAAAAUAAAUGAUACUAGUAAAAUUCCAUUUGGUGGGACUGUUUAAUUUUGACUCUGCUACAUAAAAGCAAAACACAUAUGUAUAUAUUUUAACUUGAGUAUUCAACUUCUUCCUCUCUUCCUUCACAUAGAAAAACAUAUUACCCCACUGUCCAAUGAAUCAAUCUUGUCACCGCAUUUUUUUCCUAAGUGGAAAAACAAAAUCAAAGACCCUGUCUAAAUUUAGAACUUCCUUGUCUGUACUUCAGGCUUCUCAAUGUAAAGAAAAUCUUAGCCUCCAUGUACAUUUACCCAUGACAAGUAGAAAAUUCAAAAAAAAUAUUUUUAAUCAGAAUUUAAGAACAACAUUUGGAUGGUAACCUGCUUUACAACAGUUGGUAAACACGAGGGCUAAGUAAACUCAGAGAAAUUGUGUGGCUUUUGCAAACUACUUUUGCAAAGCCAGCUUGCUUCUCCACAUCACAUAGAGAGGAAGGAAAAGCGUUUGUGUGUCAAGAGCAAGAAAAUAGGCAGAAAAUAACAAACCCAAACAGGAGUAGUAGGAGCACUAGACAUCCAAAUAGGUUUUAGGGACCCUUCUGUGUAUGAUCUUCCUCUGAGAGCGAGCACAGCCUACCCUAUCCCUGCUAUCUGCAGCUGUUGCUCCAGAGUCCCAGGAGGUUAGGAGCAGCUCCAGCCAGAGCCGGGGUACUCAGCAACCAAGGAAUUAAAUGAGGCCGAGUGAGUGACUUCAAAUGUCUGUCACACACCUGGGGGGAGGGGGGUGCGAGGAGUGGCAGAAUCAAGAGAAAGCUCGGGAAGAGUGGUUUGUUCCAUUACCCUUUUAAAGGUGUGACAAAGUGCCUGUUGAAAUACCCCAGCUGGCAGAGACUGUUCCUUCACAGGCAGUACAAACAACUAGCAGAAUUGUCAUAAUCAAAUACAUAGGAAAAUCCCUAAAAAUGAAGGUGAAUAUUUGUGUAGAUCCAUACACAUAUUCCAUUUACGUUUUUUUUUAAAUUUUUUUUUAAGUGCAUGCCAUAUGGACGUUUGAGGGUUUCCUGCUAAUGGUAUAUAUAUGCUGCCUGUGAUCAUUACCCUGGAACAGGAAAAUUGGAACUUAGAAAGGAUUUUGUUAAUAAGCCUUUCCUAAAUGACACUUUUGCAAUCCACCUCUCAAAGGAGUACAGUGCCAACUUUGUUGUGAGGCAGAUGGUAGUGAAAAAGGUGGAUGUGACUCUGAUAAUUUAGCAGGGAAAUUAAUUUAUGUGGUACUAACCAGCCUCCAAAUUGGGUUUAUUGGCUCAUUACAGUUUCUCCAAAACACCAAAGCUUUAUGUUUUAAAGAAGCUGAAGGUUAUUUUCAGGAUAUUUAUGAGAGGGAGAGAGAGAGAGAGAGAGAGAGAGAGACAGACAGACAAAGAGAGAGAGAAAGAGAAAGAAAAUUGGCUUAAUGACUGAAUCUGUAUUAAAGGUAAAAUGACAACUUCUGUGCAACUUUCAAUGAAGGACUUUGCAAAUCAACCAAGGAAUGUUGAGGAAAUCCUCCUGUCUAGUAGUAAAAUGCAUCUUUAUCCAUCCUUGACUGCUUUAGUAUGAAUGUUCUUAGAUUAUUAGCAUUGUGCUUUUGGCAUGGAUAUACCUUCACUGCACAAAGUAAAUGAAGUGCACCAUGGCCUAGCAUUACAGCAUAUAGAUAUUUCACUAUUUCUUUUUAUAAACAAAAAAUUCCGAUCUCCUUAAAGCAGAAUAAUUCUAUUUAGUAUACUAAAGAGAACAAGUUCAGAAUGAAAGAUGGAAGACAAAAUGGAGAUCGUGCUUUACAUUUCAGAAUUUUAUGUCAGAUGUAAUCCUUAUAUUGUCACUACUCGUGGCAGUCUGUGGUACAUCGUUAUCGUAAGGAUGAUUAAGAGCCUGUAGUACCAGCCUGCCUGAGGAAACAAUAGUGUUCCUAGAUCUGGUGAUUUAAACUUCAUUGCUUCACUUCCUUCAAAGUAAUUAUUUGUGUUUUUAAAUUGCCUAGUCUGAAAAGGAUUUUAUGUAAUGCAUUACAGUAUGUGCUCUGAUGAGAUUUGUAAAGAUUCCUUAAAAUUUAGUCCUGAAGUUUUAUUAGGAUGCUGUAUUUAACUGUUACCUUUAAUAAUUUUUUUGACAUUUCAUGAAA